rnacentral:tRNA from 1 species
GCGGCCGUGGCGGAAUGGGUAGACGCACCAGGUUUAGGUCCUGGCGCCGCGAGGCGUGAAGGUUCGAGUCCUUUCGGCCGCA